AAUGAUAUAAUACUGCUUGUAUUUUACUUCUCUUGGACAGUGCUGGCCUAUAACAUCACUCCUUUUGGUCCAUGGAUUAAUUUUCAGAAGAGGUACUGCGUGAAAUACAAUUAUUUCAUGUUUGUCAGCUGUCUACUUUACCCGGCUUUUUUCCAUGUGGAGAUUUGGGGACCUCAAGAGUUGUUAUUAUAGUGCAUGAGACCUAAUAGUGACUGCUUUGCCGAUUUCUAUGCAGGAAGUGUGCCCUAUUCUGGAAGGUCAAUACAAAUGUGCAGGGUACUAGAAGGGCUAGUGGGGGAGUGGCAUAGGACAAUUUAGGUACCAACACAUCUGGUUAUAGCUGCUUUUUAAAAGGCUCCCGGGCAUGCCAAAAUAUAUCAGAGAGCAGUGUGUGGCAUAGUAACAGUUGUGAUACCUGGUGACAUAUUUGCGAUUCCACUUACCACUCACCUUUGUUUAUUUUUUCUUCUUUUCAUUUAUUUUCUACCCCCAUGCCCCAUCAUAGCUCCACUGGUGGUAAUUGAGCCCAGAAGGUUUACUGAUCCCUUUCCUCCAAAAAAGUCUAAUGCUGACCUGAAUAGAGAUAGUGCUGUGUUUGGGGUUUGGUUUUAUCUAAUGAGAUGCAGUAAUGGUGCUCGAAGGGACUUAGAGGCCAUUUAGCACUCUACCCCUUCAUUUUAUCCAUGAUACACUGUCAGUUGUCUUGCCUACGACCGUACUGACAAAGGCUGGAAUUAAACAUACACUUUUGUUGAUAACUUAUUUAGAGAAUCCCUGAGAAAUGAAGAGAGGUUCAUCAAUUAAUCAAACGUUUAUUGAGCUUGUACUUUGUGAGAAGGACUGUGACUAGUGUUGUGAAAGGACACGAAGAAAACAGCCUCUGACUUUAGGAACAAUACUGUCGAUUUGAGGAAAUAAGAGGUGAACUGCCAACUUGAAUUAUGGUAUAAGAUGUAGCCCUUAAUAAUGAGUGUAACACCACUGUGGCAUGUGUUACAAGUAGAAAUGUGUUCAUUUUACACAUGUAGGAGUAGACGCUCUGAGAAUGGUGGACUCUGCAGAAAAGCGGUGUAAAAGUGUUUCUGGAACAGCCCACAGCUCUAGAAUUGGAGCAUCACCACUUGCUGGACUGUGACCCUACUUUUUCUUCUGCUUCCCCACAUCUCGAACCAGAAGGGAAUCUUUCAGCCUUUCACUUCAUGGGGAGCCUUCGGAGGAAGUCACGCAGUCACCUGGAAAAGAUGCCGCCAGCCACCACAGUGACUGACAGGCUGCCCUGGCUCAGUUAUCACAGUGCUGAUGCUGUCCAUUCUAAAGGUACAGUACUGUGAUAACUGAAGGAUGGCAGCCAUCUUGCCUUCCAUAUCAGAGGAGUCCCAUCGUGCCCAGGGAGGAAGACAGAAGAUGAAAGAGGCACGUGAAACAGGUGCGGCGUCCCAGAAACGCUCUUAACGCUGUUCCUGUUUUGUACCUUCCCUAGAGCAUAGGAAAUGUUAUUCCGUCUGUCUUUGCCUUAUUUUUUAACAUAAGGAUAAAGAGGAGUUAGGUCAUUGUUUGCACAGCAGGGUGAAGAUUUGUACUGAGUGGACAUAUAUUAAGAUCUUUGGAACUUUAAGAGUCUGAUAUUAGAUAAAUACUAAGUGUGAAUUAGUGUUUUUGGAGUGGUAUUCAGAGAAAUUUGCCGUAUUUUAUACAUGUAAGAGGUAACCUGAUUAGAAUAACUUGGCAUUUACAAUAUUAGAUGUUCAGAAUGAAAUUCAACUUAAACGGGGAGAAAAAAGCCCUACAUGUUGAACAGUAUUGAUAUAAUUGCAUGAAUAAAAUUACAUCUUUGUGUUUGAGGAAUGGAUAGGCACAUGGCAUGUUUCUUUCAGGGACAUAAAUAUUUAAAAUCUAGUCUAAUUUAAAAAGUGUCUGUUGAA